rnacentral:tRNA from 1 species
GCGGGUGUGGCGGAACUGGCAGACGCGCUGGAUUUAGGUUCCAGUGGGGCAACUCGUGAAGGUUCGAUUCCUUUCACCCGCACCA